UACAGAGGGUGCAAGCGUUAAUCGGAAUUACUGGGCGUAAAGCGUGCGUAGACGGUUAUGUAAGUCAGGUGUGAAAGCCCCGGGCUCAACCUGGGAAUUGCAUUUGAGACUGCAUAGCUAGGGUGCGGAAGAGGGAAGCGGAAUUUCCGGUGUAGCGGUGAAAUGCGUAGAUAUCGUAAGGAAGACCAGUGGCGAAGGCGGGUCUCUGGACAGUUCCUGACGCUGAGGCACGAAAGCGUGGGUA
rnacentral:rRNA from 1 species